rnacentral:rRNA from 1 species
UACGUAGGGUGCGAGCGUUGCCCGGAUUUAUUGGGCGUAAAGAGCGUGUAGGCGGCUAGGUAGGUCCGUUGUGAAAACUCGAGCUCAACCUCGAGACGCCGGUGGAAACCAUCUAGCUAGAGUCCGGAAGAGGAGAGUGGAAUUCCUGGUGUAGCGGUGAAAUGCGCAGAUAUCAGGAAGAACACCCGUGGCGAAGGCGGCUCUCUGGGACGUGACUGACGCUGAGACGCGAAAGCGUGGGGGAGCGAACAGG